GACGUAGGGUGCGAGCGUUGUCCGGAUUUAUUGGGCGUAAAGAGCUCGUAGGCGGCUUGUUACGUCGGCUGUGAAAACCCGCGGCUCAACCGCGGGCCUGCAGCCGAUACGGGCAGGCUAGAGUUCGGUAGGGGAGACUGGAAUUCCUGGUGUAGCGGUGAAAUGCGCAGAUAUCAGGAGGAACACCAAUGGCGAAGGCAGCUCGCUGGGACGUGACUGACGCUGAGACGCGAAAGCGUGGGGAGCAAACAGG
rnacentral:rRNA from 1 species